AUUUUAAAGUUGCUGUAUUUUUUUUUAGUACAAGUAUUUAUUCGAUUUCUUGGUUGUUUUAGGCGGAGAAUUCACUGUAGGGGACUUUUAGUGCUUAAAAGUGGCCUACCGUAACGUUUAUACGAGAGUCAAUAAAGCAUUGACAUUACAGGUUCGAAGAUGCAUACAUUGGGGAAUCUGGAAUGGAGAGGCUAUUGAGAUAGUAGCAUUUAAGUUGUGUCUAGGAGUUUAUAGUUCCAGACUUUAGCUUUGAGUUGGUGUGUUUCAGUUCAAACAUUGUUUGACUCUUAUUUCAUAAGUUCAAUAAAGUUGGUUUUGUUUUA